GUGGAGCUGGGUGGUGCCCGAGCCCCGGCAACAGCGCGCAGCGGGAGGGAACGCAGACAGUCUGCCGGAGAACCUGGGCGCUAGAGUCUCCUGCGAGGUCGGUCUCCGCGGGGUUUCCCCAGGAGUGAAGCCCAGGGGAAGUGGCUCUCGUAGGGUGCCCACUGCUGGCAUCACUAAUCGCGAUACACCCGUGAGAAUGGUAUCGUCUCUCCGGUCUUUUAUCUAGUAGAUGAGAAAACAGGGUUGGGGCGCUUACCCUGUUGUCCUGGCGCUGCCGGCACAGUCGCUUCGCCCGCCGCGUAACCCUGGGAAGGAAAGCUUCCCGCCUUAAACAUCAGGACAGGCUCGAGGACAUUCAUUGCAACGCUGACGGCGGCAACCUGGACUGGAACCUGAGUCUUAACACUAGGCCGCUGCCCAUUUUGCUUUGCCCCUUUUUCAUCUGCCCCUAUUCACCGCACUUCAAGCCAAGACAGACCUGUCACCUCUCAUGCUUCGAAAUGGAUAGCUGCAAGAACUUCAAAACGUAGGCAACAUACCGCUUUUCCCUCUUCUCCGUCCUCGAAUCCUGUACACCAAAAUCGUCCUAUUGCAUAAUUUCACUCUUACCUUCAAAGAUGAACAAUUAACUAGCAAAUGGCCACAAUCUUAGUAGUCUACUAGAAUGGCGAAGAUUCGCAGUCAUUCUUGGACAAGGUCACCAGACCUUGAGUUCCAGAACAAAAAAUGGAUGUAUUUGGAACUUCAUUCUAAGGUGAUUGCUCUUAACUUUCCAAAAGGGAUUACUGUGGUUGAUUAACUAAUGGUCAACUUGGCGCCCAGCUGAACUGAGUCAUCAUGUACAUGGAAGACCCACCUGAGAAUUGUUGCCGAUGGCGUAAAAGGAGAACUGGAGGGGAAGAUUGUAGACUGUUGAUUUUCUUGGAGAAGCUUGUCAUGGCUGGUUUUCUUGAUAGAAACUCUGCUGUUCUCAUCAUUACAGGAGCUCAGGUCCUUGCUGUCGCUGAGGAUGGCUGCUGUUCUUGUCAGGGGAGCUCUGAUCUUUGUUGUGUCACUUUCUGGCUCCAGUGCAGAUCCCUCAGCCUGGCAGCACAAAUCCUUCCCCCCACCAGCACAGGAUUUCUGCCUUCCACCAAGGGCCUUUCUGCCCUCCUAGCGCAGAUCCUCAGUAUAGACUUGCAAGAGACAUUGCUGAGGGCUCUUGGCCUCUGGCUGGACUCAUGGAGGACAUUGCUUUGGGCUCUAGACCUUUAGCUGGAUAAUUUGUGGACUUUUACAGGACAGUGGCAUGGGAUCCAGGCCCUCGGCUGAAUUCUUUGGGUCUCUUGCAUGUGGACAGAUCUCUUGCACUCCUUGGCAUUUGACUUUUGGGGUGAAUAUUAUAAAAUAAUCCUAAAAAUUAUGUGUCCUGUAUUAAAUCUAUUCCCUUGCAAACCCUGACUGUAACAGAUACCAUGAGCAUUUUUGAUUCUGUGAUAGAUAAAACAAACUAAGGUCUGAGGGUUGAGGAUGUGGCUCAGUGAUAGAGCACUUGCCUCAUAGACUCAAGGCCUUGGCUGGCCCCCUAGCACUGCAAACAUGAAACAAAUAACCCCCCUCAAAAAGAGAAAAAUAAAAGAUAGAUAGUAGGUGAUAGGAGAUCAAUCUUUUGCAAAUGGGAAGGGGACCAAAAGAUGGAGGGAAAGGGGGUAGGGGAAGGAAAAGGGAUUAACAAAAGGAAUUAAGAUGUGUUAUGUCCAUGUACCAACACCCUACAAAGAAUGUACUGCAAACAUGUACUAAUAAAAAUUUUAAAAUAAGU
rnacentral:lncRNA from 1 species